UACUCUAUUCGCUAUGAUUGUUGUUAAACUCUCAUGAUUGUUUGAAUGUUUUUUCGACUUUAUUUUUGAUGAAUAUCAAUGUUUUUACUUGAAUGAACUACAUUACGACCACUAUGUAAUUGAUAUUUCUGAUACUUACUUGAAACCAUGAAAACACAUUCAGUAGAAAAUCUCAACCGAAACACCAAACUAUUUAAAACGUUUUGUGGUGUGUUGAUCUGUAUGUUCGACUUGAGGAUGUUUAAUUGGAACUGAAUUUUUUGUGGAUGUUGGGAUUUAAUUGACGAGGAAUGUUUGAUUUUUAUGAUUGUUUCUUGAAGUUUAGAAAUUGAUCACUUUCCCUUGUCUCCCUUUGAACUUGAAAACAAGCCGAGUUGAUGACACUUUAGUUUUUAGUUCGUGAUAGUAAUUUUUUAACAACUCUAUGAUUUGUGCAAUUGAUAAUUUUAAAAUUACACUGUUCACCGCUGAAUUUUGUUUGAAGUCGCCAUAAAGUAAAUAUGAGAAGGAAUUUAUGGCAUGAAUUACAUCCUUCUUUUUCUUCUCUUCUUCUCUGCUUCUUUUCUCUGUUUCUCUACUGCGAGUUUGCUGCUACAGUUCUUUUUCAUCCUGCAGUCCAUAACUUUUCUUUGUUUUUUACUUUUCUUCUUCUUAAUGGAGCUGCUGGAAGUAAUUUAUGAAUUGAGUUACAUUCUAGAACUAGAACUGAAAAUUAUAUUUUGAAGUGAGAACAUGUUUUGAGUGCUAAAUUCAAUAAAAAGUUCAUUGGGGUUGAGGAAAGGGAACUGAAUUCAUUUAGAAUAUAGCUUGGUUGCUCAACCUUGUUUAGGAAAGAUGUACAUGGCAGAUUAGCUACAGUUACGUUCUAUCAAGUUGUUGUUAAACUGUUUUGGGCUAACUCUUGAGUAGCGUUAUUUGAAGCGUGCACUUUGUCGCUUAAAGCGAGAAGAUAAGAGAAGCUAUAUUGCUUUAUUAUAGUGAGACGUGGCUAUAGAUAAAGAGUGAGAGGUUCAGUCCCAGAAGCUAAAAAAGCUCGCUUUUCUUCUAAAACGAGGUUGGCAGUAUAUAGAUCUUUUUUUUAAAAAAAAAAUCAUAAUAAAAAACUUCGCGAUUUAUUUCCAAAGAUUUUCCUUUGUUUCACUUCUCUUGUUGCGACGCUUUUUCAAGCGAUUGCAAGGUAAGCUUUUCAGCUUUUCUUCUUCUCUUAUUUUGUUCUUGUUUUCUCUGUUUCUCUAUUUCUCUGUUGUGCGAGCUAGCUGCUACAGUUAUUUUUGACCUGCAGUUUGCAAGUUUUCUCUGUUUUUUAUUCUUUUGUUCUUGAAGAAGCUGCUGGAAAGAAUUUAUGACCUGAGUUACAUUCUUGAGUCUAGAACUGAAAAUUAUUUGAGUGUUAAAAUUCUAUAGAAAGUUCAUUGGGUUGAAGAAAGGAAACUAGAUACAGUUUGAGCUGAAAGUUUAGAAUAUAGCUCAGUUGCUCCAAUUUGUUUCAGGUAAAGUGUACAUGGUUGUUUAGCUACAUUUCUAUCUAGUUAUUAUUGUUGUUUUGGGCGAACUCUGGAGUAUUGUUCUUAAAAGCGAGUAUUUUGUCGCUUGAAGCGAGAAGCGAUGUGAAGCUGUAUUGCUUGUUUCUCGAUUAUUUUGUCCAUUUUUUUUGUUGUUCUGUCUCUGUUUUACUGCCUCUUUUUGUUUUAUGAAUUGAUUUUUCUAUUAAGAUCUUGGUUUUUAACUAUGUAUAUUUAAUAGAUCUUAAGAAUUAAAAGUUUUUCUUUAGUUGAAAAAGUGUGCGCUUGGUUUCACACUUUUUGCUUUAGUGAAGCGAGCCCUUAUUACUUCUCGUUUCGUAAAGUGAGCCCUUAUCAAGUGAGCUUUAAUUGUGAGUUAUUGACAAUUCAUUAUAGCUACUGAUAUUGUCAAGAUAUGAAACUGCUUUAUAGGUGAAUGUCUUCAGUUUUGAGAUGGUAUAGUGUGAAUUUAUUUUUUAUAAAACUGAUGUACUUAUUUAUUUCAAGUAAUUUGAAUUGCAAUCAGAAUCUCUGAAUACUUGGACUGUCAUAAACUUAAAUCUAGAAGUACGAGCUACAAAAUCACAUGUAGAUUCUGUAAUUUCUCCUUGAUCAUGAAUAUCUUGAGCAACCCUUCUUAGAAUAUUCUUAACUGUGCAAUCUUUAUCUUGAUGGUUCCUUUCUAACUAUAAAUGGUAGCUACAAUCUGCUAGUAAUGUAAUAAAGAUUUUAACUUAACUAGAAUUGCUUCUAGCAUUUUGUAUAGCCCAACUAACCUUAGCACAUCAGUCCCUAGACAUUCGGCACAACCUUAGACAUCUUACAAGUCGAGACCAAAUGAUAAUAGUAAAUCAGACUUGGAGAAAAGGUGCUCAAUUGUCCAGAUUCCUGCUACAUAACACACAAUCAAGUCAGCUUGUACACCCCAUUUCAGCCAUGUACAUAAGCCUUAAUUGUAUUGCAAUCAGAAGCUCUAAAUACUUGAACUGUCAAAAGCUUAAAGCUGUAAGUAGAAGCUAUACAAUCAUAUCUAGUUUCUGUACUUUCUCCUUGAUCAUGAAUAUCUUGAGCAACCCUUCUUAGAAUAUUCUUAACUGUGCAAUCUUUAUCUUGAUGGUUCCUUUCUAACUAUAAAUGGUAGCUACAAUCUGCUAGUAAAGUAAUAAAGAUUUUAACUUAACUAGAAUUGCUUCUAGCAUUUUGUAUAGCCCAACUAACCUUAGCAGAUCAGUCCCUAGACAUUCGACACACCAUUAGGCAUCUUAGAAGUCGAGACCACAUGAUAGCAGUAAAUUUUCACUUAAAGAAAAGGUGCUCAAUUGUCCAGAUUUCUGGUACAUAACACCCAAUCAAGUCAGUUUGUACACCCCAUUUUAUCUGUCUACAUAAGCCUUAAUUGUAUUGCAAUCAGAAGCUCUAAACACUUGAACCGUCGAAAGCUUAAAUUUGUAAGUAGGAGCAACAAAAUCAUAUGUAGUUUCUGUAUUUUCUCCUUGAACAUGAAUAUCUUGAGCAGCCCUUCUUACAAUAUUCUUUGCUAUGCAAGCUAUACCUUGAUAGUUCCUUUCUAACCAUAAAUGGUAGAUACAAUCUGCUAGUAAUAUAGUGAAGAUUUCAACUUAACUAGAACUGCUUCUAGCAUUUAGUAUAGCCCAACUAACCUUAGAAGACCAAUCCAUAGACAUUCAGCACACCCUUAGGCAUCUUAGAAAUCGAGACCAAAUGAUAGCAGUAAAUAAGUACAUAAAGAAAAGGUGCUCAAUUAUCCCGAUUCCUGCUACAUAACACACAGUCAGGUCAACUUGUACACCCCAUUUCAGUCGUCUACAUAAGCCUUAAUUGUAUUGCAAUCCGAAGCUCUAAAUACUUGAACUGUCAAAAUCUUUAAUCUGUAAGUAGAAGCUACAAAAUCACAUGUAGUUUCUAUACUUUCUUCAUGAACAUGGAUAUCUUGAGCACAGGUACAAUUUUGCAUUUUAGUGUGAGUUGGAAAGAAAAUGUUUAUUGGAAGCCUUCUAACUUUUCCAUGUGUGUUGAGAUAACUCAUUAUUUGGAUAAAAUUAAAAUCAGAUUUCCGUUUGAUAGUUUUAAUUGUUAAAAUGACAUCCUUUGAGUUAUGCAAUUACAUAUUGAUUAAUUCCAUUGGUUUUGACUAACAUAUCUUUAGUUCUUACAGUAACUGUUGAGAAAAGAAUAUCUUGAACUUUAUGGACAAUUCUACCAAUAAAAAGUGGUUGUAUUGUGAUAGAGUUAGUAAACAAUACUUGGAUGGAGUAAAUGAUUUUAUAAAUCAUGCCUUUUCUACAAAACAAGAUGGAGACAAAUUUGCAUGUCCCUGUACAGAAUGUGUGCUUUUCCAUCAAGUCAAUAGGGAUACAGCAUAUGAUCAUCUUAUGAUUGCUAUCAUAUGAUACUUGGUUUUGUCAUGGAGAGUGUCUAAAUAGAUCAAACAAUACGCAAGUAACUAAUGGCGGCCAAUCAACUUUAAGGGGUGAUGAUGUGUGAGGAAUGAUACAUGAUGCCUUUGGAUGUUGUACACAGUUCAUGGAUAGUGAUGUCAAUGAAAGGGGCGAGAUGGAGCCAAACCUACAGUAAAAUACCACUCAUACGUCUAAAAAUCAAACUCAUCCUGAGGUGGAUAAGUUUGAACGACUCAUGAAGGAGGCAAAUGAAGAACUAUGGGCCCGUUUGGAUGGGCUUUAAGUUGGUCAAAACCAACUUAAAGCCCGUUUUUAGCUUUUGAACGUGUUUGCCUAAUGCUAACUUUUAAGCCAUAAAGUUCUUAAAGUCAGUCAAAAAUGAAAAGUUAGGAUUCCUAACUUUUUUUUCCUAAGUGCUUAAAGUCAUUUUCUUUGACCAUGGAAAUUACUUUUAUAUCCCUUAUAUUUUAACUAAAUUCCCAAACUACCCUUUGUAUUCUUUUAACCCUAAAAUUCACAUCAUUUUCCUCAUUUAAGCACUUUUAUCCAAACACUCAACUGCUUAUUUAUAAAAAUAACUUUCAGCACUUCAAAGUUCUAAAAGCACUUCAUAAAUAAAAAUUACUUUUUUUAAGCCCAUCCAAACGGGCUCUAUAUCCUGGAUAUAAGAAGUUGCUACAUAUCUAUCGUACAAAAUGCAUGUUCAAAUGGUCAAAUGAAUCUUUUGAUUCUUUGCUUGGACUAUUGAAAAAUGUGCUGCCGGAAGGAGAAAAAUUGCCUCCUUUCUAUGAAACCAAAAAGAUAGUUGAAGGUUUGGGCUUAAAGUAUGAAACGAUUCAUGCUUGUCCCAAUGGUUGCAUGCUUUUCAGAAAAGAGUUUGCCAGUAAGGAUGUCAAUGAAUGCAAAAUUUGUGGAGCUUCUAGAUGGAAAAAUAAUGCAAAGAAAAUUCCAGCCAAGGUCCUAAGGUAUUUUCCUUUAAAAUCAAGACUACAAAGAUUAUUUAUGUCUUUAUAAAAUUCUAAGGUAAUGCGUUGGCAUCAUGAAGAGCGCAACAAAGAUGGAGUUCUACGACAUCCUGCAGAUUCCAAAGCUUGGAAAAGUUUUGAUAGUAAGUAUCUUGAAUUUGUUGGAGAUCCUCACAAUGUUCGUCUGGGAUUAGCUUCUGAUGGGUUUAAUCCGAUUGGCACAAUGUGAAUUGUUCACAGUACUUGGCCAGUGAUUUUAAUGCCAUAUAAUCUUCCACCAUGGAUGUGCAUGAAAGAAGAGUUCUUUAUUCUGUCCUUACUUGUUCCUGGACCAAAAUCACCUGACAAUAAUAUUGAUGUCUUUUUGCAACCAUUAAUAGAAGAGCUAAAUGAAUUGUGGAGUGUCGGGGUGGAAACAUAUGAUGCUUCUACAAAGGAGACAUUUCAAAUGAGAGCAGCUCUCAUGUGGACUAUAAAUGAUUUUCUAGCAUAUGGUACUUUUUCUGGAUGGAGCACUUCUGGUGGGUUUGCAUGCCCUUCUUGCAAUAUAAACACUUAAUUUAAAAGGCUCAAACAUGGCCGGAAAUUUUGUUUCAUGGGGCAUCGACGUUUCUUGAAGCAUGGUCACAAAUAUCAAAAUGAUGCAAAAUCAUUUGAUGGGACCAAAGAAACGAGACCUGCACCUUUUUCAAUAUCUGGAUCACAAGUGCUGGAUCAAGUAAAAGAUAUAAAGUUUACUCUAGGCCAGUCAAGUGAAGAGGUAAGUGUGGUGAUGAAAAACACAUGUAAAAAAAAGAGCAUAUUUUUUGAUCUUCCUUAUUGGGAGUAUAACUUGGUGCGCCAUAAUCUUGAUGUAAUGCACAUAGAAAAGAAUGUGUGUGAUAACAUAAUGUAUACAUUAUUGGGUCUUGGUAAGAAGCCAAUACAAUAUAGAAGCACGAUUGGACUUGAAGGAGAUAAAAAUAAGACCAAGCUUAUGGCCUCAAUAUCGAGCUAGUGGGAGGGCAUAUCUUCCUCCUACUUAUUUCACAAUGUCUUCAAAUGAAAAAGAGAUGUUUUAUGAAGUACUACAAAAUGCCAAGUUUCCACAUGGCUAUGCGUCUAAUAUCUCAUGUUGGAUACGCAAACGAAAGCUAUCUGGGCUAAAAACUCAUGAUUGCCAUGUUAUAAUGCAAGAACUUCUUCCUCUUACCUUGAGGAGAACAACAGGUAAAAGAUUUAAAUCAGUUUUAAUUGAACUAUGCACAUUCUUUCGUGUUUUGUGUAGCAAAGUGCUAAAACUAGAAGACUUAAAAUUACUUGAAGAAAAAAUUCCAGAAACAUUGUCUACUAUGGAAAAACCCUUCCCCCAGGAUUCUUUACUAUUAUGGUACACUUGAUUACUAACUUGGCAACUGAGGCUAAACUUGCAGGUCCAGUACAUUAUCGCUGGAUAUACCCAAUUGAUGAAGGUUCAAUAGCAGAAGCAUACAUAGCAAAUGAAUGUUUGGCAUUUUCCUCAUGAUAUUUGGAGGGUGGAGAUUCAAAGUCUUAUUGUUAAAGAAGAUGUGAUGAUGAUAUUGAGCAUGACUAGUAAAGAAGAAUGCCUUUUUCCUACUACUGUGGAGUCAUACUAUGGAGUAGAUGUAUAUGAAAUGGAUGAGAAAACAUUGUUGCAAGCACAUCGGCAUGUGCUUUUUAAUUGCGAGUGAGAGCUCGUUGAGAAUUAUAAAAAAGAACAUAUUGUUGAAAUCAAGAGAUCACAUUGUAAGCAUCGUUUGACUCAACAUCAACUUGAUCGUAUGCAUUUCGAUACAUUUAGUGAGUGGUUCAAGGAGCAAGUAAAAGAGUUGGAGGCCACAUCUGACAAAUUAAAGAAUGUCAAAGUUCUUGCAAAAGGGGCAAGUUACAUUGCAAAAAGAUUCAGUGCAUUUGAUGUAAAUAAUAGGUAUCGAUUUCGAACAUAACAAAAUGAAGAGUACUUAGAGACAUAAAAUAGUGGUGUUAUGGUCGUUUCCAAGACCGAAAGUUAUACAAGUUCAAGUGACAAUGCUCCAAAGUCUGCAAAUAUCACAUAUUAUGGUAGAUUGAAUCAUUGUGGAGUUAAACUACUAUGAAGAAUUUAAAGUUGUCUUAUUUAAAUGUGAUUGGGCUGAUGUACUCAAAGGCAAAGGAGUUAUGGAAGAUGACUUGGGUUUCAUAUUUGUUAAUUUUUCACGCCUGGCUGAUUCUGGCGAUCGAGAACGUCAUGAGCCCUUUAUUUUUGCAGAACAAGCUCAACAAGUAAUAUUUGUGAAAGAUCAUCAAGAUCAUAAAUGGUUUGUCCCUGGGUUAAUUAAACCUAGAGAUGUUUUUGAUAUGGGAGAGGAAAAUAGUGUGCAGUUAGAGUCAUCAAUGCACAGUGAUUCCACUUGGCUAUCAUAGAAAAUUCUCAUGUUCCAGAGUAUGAGACUAAUGAUUGGGUAAGAAGUGGAGUCGAUCGAAGAAUAAUUGAUACAAAACUCCAUACUCGAGGGAGGAAAUGAUAUUGAAAAUGAAAGUGAUCCUGAAUGAUAGGUGGUUAUUAUAAAAUAUAUUUUUUUCAAAUGUUAUUAAAAAACCUUUAGGUAUUUGUUAUUUUUUAUAUAUAAAUUUGAAUAAAAUAUCUUUACGGAUUUGCUUUCAAUCUGAGUCAUUUUAUUGAAGAUCAUGUUAGUGAUCAACUAUAAAUUUUCCUAUGUUUGUUUUGGUUAAUUAGUGAAGGUUUUCAGUGAAUCUGUGCUUGCUUUUACUUAUAUUUUGUUGUUUUAUUCCUUGGAUUGAGAAGUGAGGAUGUGUUCUUAUGAAUUGGAAUUUUGCUUAUCCCUGGUGCAUUAGUAUGUGUUUUCAUGGCUUAAGAUGAGAAUGAUGCUAUAUCUUGUAUUCCAUUUGUCCUGUUAUUCUGCUACCAGUGCAACUUAAUGCAUCUAUGUAGUUACUUCAUUUUAGAUAAGAAAGUAUGCAAACUAGAGGUCGCUACAGAUUGGACAUUCAACUUUAAAAUGAUCAAGAUGUGCGACAAUAUUUUGAGCAGUUGAUACGUAACAUCGAUCGAGCCCAACCUUAUCUUGAGCAGUUGAUAAAUAGGCAAAAUCACUCUGAAACCCAAUAUCAUGUUGAUCAAUCUAAUGAGUUGAAUAAUUCUGUUGAUGGCACUGAGGAAUCAGGUAAUUCGGAGACAAGAAAGGUAUGUGGUCCUACUUUACUUGAAGAUAUUUGGAAGCUUCCUCCGGGAAAAACAGUUGACGUGCCGUUUAAUAGUCAUAACCAAGCUAUUGGAGAAAAGGGUUGAAAUCUUGCUACAUUUUUAGGAAUUAUUGCAAGAACUCCAGAAUUAACACCUCUACACGUAGAUGAUUGGAGAAAUAUCGACAAUGAGGAAAAGAAAAAAUUGUUGAAUUUUGUGAGGAAGAAGUUCUCUAUCCCAAAAUGCGGAGAAGACUUUUUUCUUAAAAGUCACUAGGAAAGAAAUGAAAAGAUUACAAGUGCCAAUUAAAAGGUGACCAUAUUCCAAAGUAUAAGACUAAAGAUGCUUUGCUGAAAAAUAGACCAAGUCGUAUACUGAGAGAUCAAUGGAGUGGUCAUGUCUCUUAUUGACUUUCUGAGAAAGCUAAGAGACAUACCCAGGCAAAUAGAAAUAAUAGGGCCAAGCAAAAGAUGCCUCACACAGGAGGAUCCAAAAGUAUUGCUACCUUGAUGGAUGAGAAUGUCGAAAAUGGUAUAGAGCCAACACGAGCAAAAAUUUUCUUAUUAACUCAUAAAAAACGCAUGGAUGGUAGACCAUUGGAUGAUUAUCUGCCAAAGCUAUUGACAUGAUAAAUGAAAAGUUGAGCAAUAGUGAGGAAUCUACUGACCAACCUUGUCACCAUGUUUCUUGGAAAGGUGAUGUGUAUUCCCAGGUGUUGGAAAAUGAAAGAAGUGGAUAUGUUCGUGGUUUAGGACUUAGUUCAACUCCUUCAGUUCUAUGGGGUAGUAGAUCUUCCUUUGGAAAUAUUAAUGAAGAGGAUUCGUCUAAUGAAGUUGUAAAAAGGUUAGAACAUGAGAUUACUGAAUUAAAGGCGAAACAAAAUGAAGAAAUGAAUCUUAUGAAACAAAAUCAGGAGAAUAUGCAAUCAGAAUUACUCCAAAUGAGAUCAUUCAUGCGCAAAUAUGCUCCUAAUAAAUCUGUCUCAAAAUAUCAGCGACACCUCAAGUGAACAGGUAGUUGGAUUAGACAUUUUUAUGAAAUUUUAAUCCUAUAAAAGUAUUGUUAAUUGAUGUGUUAAUAUUUAUCAAGUCUCCGACGUCGACAGUGGUCAUGGACAAAUACCACAAACAACAAGGAUUACUAGUAUUGCUGAAAAUACUCCAACUUCUCAUGGUCAUACAGUCUGAUGUUCAAAACUUUUGCCUAUGAAAUAUUUCAAUAUGACGAACAAUUGUGGAAAUUCUUUAAAGACAUUACUUGAUAGGAUUGGUUCUAUAAUGAUAUUAGUUAUUUCAUUCAGCUAAUAUAAGUUUAUUUUUAAGUUGGGAUACCUCUUUUUUUGGA